rnacentral:rRNA from 1 species
UACGGGGGGGCGAAGCGUUGUUCGGUAAUUACUGGGCGUAAAGGGCUCGUAGGUGGCCAACUAAGUCAGACGUGAAAUCCCCAGGCUCAACUUGGGAACUGCGUCUGAUACUGGAUGGCUUGAAUUCGGGAGAGGGAUGCAGAAUUCCGAGGUGUAGCGGUGAAAUGCGUAGAUAUCUGGAGGAAUACCGGUGGCGAAGGCGGCAUCCUGGACCGAUAUUGACACUGAGGAGCGAAAGCCAGGGGAG